CGCGUAGGCGGCCAGAUAAGUCCGGUGUGAAAGUCACAGGCUCAACCUGUGAAUGCCGCUGGAAACUGUCUGGCUAGAGUCCGGAAGGGGCGAGUGGAAUUCCUGGUGUAGCGGUGAAAUGCGCAGAUAUCAGGAGGAACACCAAUGGCGAAGGCAGCUCGCUGGAACGGUACUGACGCUGUGGCGCGAAAGCGUGGGGAGCAAACA
rnacentral:rRNA from 1 species